CUGUUCGAGCGUCAUCAUAACCCUCAAGUUCAGCUUGGUGUUGGGGCUUGCCACCUGGCAGCCCUUAAAAUCAGUGGCGGUGCAUCUGGCUCUAAGCGUAGUAAUUCUUCUCGCUACAGAGUUCCCGGUGGAUGCUUGCCAUUAACCCCCAACUCUCUAAGUUUGACCUCGGAUCAGGUAGGGAUACCCGCUGAACUUAA
rnacentral:misc_RNA from 1 species